GGAGCUGGAAGCAACUUUGGGGUUAAACCGUUAAAGAACAGUUUAACUGAAAGUAAGAGUGCGUCAGGGACCUCCUGUCAUCUUAACAACUUCAUUUAGGUGAAGUUGUUAUGGUGCCUUCAGGUGACUAAACUGUCUCUUUAACAUUGCCCAGUUAAUAAACUGUUAAAUUAGCUAUGGGUAAACUGAAAGCAGCUGCAAAAUAUAAG